CUUCUAUUACAUGCUGAGUCUCUGGUAAACUGAGACUCUGGAAAGUCUCUGGUAAAUUAAAUCUCUAGGUCCUUGAUCCACUUUGAGUUGAGUUUUGUGCAUGGUGAGGAAUAGAGAUUUAAUUUCAUUUUGUUGCAUUUGUCCAUCCAGGGAUUCUAGUUUUAGAAUUUAGUAGCUUUGGGGGGUUUCAUGGAAGGAACUAGAUUUACCUGUUUCUUCCCAGUUGCAGCCCAAACAGGCCAAGCCUGGGAAUGGUGUAUAUGCUCAGCUCCUCUCCUUCUUGGCCCCAAGAGUGUCCUGAGGGAAAGUUGGAAGCUGCAUAGGUAUAGUCAUGCUCAGUAUUUGUUUUUGUACCCAGAGAUGUGGUCUGUUUCUAACAAGAGCUACCUGAUAAACCCUCUACCUUGUGGACUCUGCAGGCCAGGCCAUAGUACAGACCUCACUUCUGGAGUCCUUCAGUCAGUGAAUUUAGGUUUUUUUUGUGUGUGUGUGCAAGAAUCCAGGUUCCAUGGGGCUUCUUUCUAGUGUCUCUGAACAUGGCAGAAGCAGUCUGCCUGCAGAACUUGGGCUUGGUUGGGGGAGAUAUUGGCAAUAAGCUUUCCAUCAGACCCUGCCCCUUUGCUCCAGGAUACUUCUUCCUUUGGAGAACACACAGCUGGUCUCUCACACUGUCAUAAGUCUCAGAGUAUCCAUUUGAAAUGGGCAGUUCUGUCCACUGCAUUUGACUCUAAACACAGUUCAACAGCCAGACCAAACCUCACAUUCCUAGGGCACAAUCCUGCCAGUCUCAUUCUUGAGCCCAGUCUAUGAGGUGGGCAACACAAUGACUGUGAAGGGAUGUGGCUGCUGUGUCUUGGAGCUAAUUUUUUAUUGUUUUGCAGGGGUGUCUGGUCUCUCACACAGACAUUCCUACAAUGGAAUCUUUUGAAAUGGACUCCCCCUCAGGGCUCUAAUGGACUAUGCAGGGAAUUGCUUGGAACCUUCUUGGUGGAAGUGUAGACAACUUUUCCAAAUGCCUCUGAGCAUGGUACUGUGUUCAGGAAGGAGAAUAUUGCUCACAUGUGUGGAGCUGCAUGUAGUAAAUUUUCUACCAGAUCCUACCC
rnacentral:lncRNA from 1 species